AUUGAACGCUGGCGGCAGGCCUAACACAUGCAAGUCGAGCGCGCGGCGCACGGGUGAGACAUGUAUGGGGACUGCCCGAUAGAGGGGGAUAUCUCCUGGAAACGGUAUCUAAUACCGCAUACUAUCGGAUAACCCAUAUGGGAUUAGCUAGUAGGUGGGGUAAUGGCUCACCUAGGCGACGAUCCCUAGCUGGUCUGAGAGGAUGAUCAGCCACACUGGGAAUGAGACACGGCCCAGACUCCUACGGAGGCAGCAGUGGGGAAUAUUGCACAAUGGGCGCAAGCCUGAUGCAGCCAUGCCGCGUGUAGGAAGAAGGCCCUAGGGUUGUAAAGUACUUUCAGUCGGGAGGCGUUACCGACAGAAGAAGCACCGGCUAACUCCGUGCCAGCAGCCGCGGUAAUAC
rnacentral:rRNA from 1 species